rnacentral:rRNA from 1 species
AUACCGCAUACGCCCUACGGGGGAAAGCAGGGGAUCUUCGGACCUUGCGCUAAUAGAUGAGCCUAAGUCAGAUUAGCUAGUUGGUGGGGUAAAGGCCUACCAAGGCGACGAUCUGUAGCGGGUCUGAGAGGAUGAUCCGCCACACUGGGACUGAGACACGGCCCAGACUCCUACGGGAGGCAGCAGUGGGGAAUAUUGGACAAUGGGCGAAAGCCUGAUCCAGCCAUGCCGCGUGUGUGAAGAAGGCCUUUUGGUUGUAAAGCACUUUAAGCGAGGAGGAGGCUACCGAGAUUAAUACCCUUGGAUAGUGGACGUUACUCGCAGAAUAAGCACCGGCUAACUCUGUGCCAGCAGCCGCGGUAAUACAGAGGGUGCGAGCGUUAAUCGGAUUUACUGGGCGUAAAGCGUGCGUAGGCGGCUUUUUAAGUCGGAUGUGAAAUCCCUGAGCUUAACUUAGGAAUUGCAUUCGAUACUGGGAAGCUAGAGUAUGGGAGAGGAUGGUAGAAUUCCAGGUGUAGCGGUGAAAUGCGUAGAGAUCUGGAGGAAUACCGAUGGCGAAGGCAGCCAUCUGGCCUAAUACUGACGCUGAGGUACGAAAGCAUGGGGAGCAAACAGGAUUAGAUACCCUGGUAGUCCAUGCCGUAAACGAUGUCUACUAGCCGUUGGGGCCUUUGAGGCUUUAGUGGCGCAGCUAACGCGAUAAGUAGACCGCCUGGGGAGUACGGUCGCAAGACUAAAACUCAAAUGAAUUGACGGGGGCCCGCACAAGCGGUGGAGCAUGUGGUUUAAUUCGAUGCAACGCGAAGAACCUUACCUGGUCUUGACAUAGUAAGAACUUUCCAGAGAUGGAUUGGUGCCUUCGGGAACUUACAUACAGGUGCUGCAUGGCUGUCGUCAGCUCGUGUCGUGAGAUGUUGGGUUAAGUCCCGCAACGAGCGCAACCCUUUUCCUUAUUUGCCAGCGGGUUAAGCCGGGAACUUUAAGGAUACUGCCAGUGACAAACUGGAGGAAGGCGGGGACGACGUCAAGUCAUCAUGGCCCUUACGACCAGGGCUACACACGUGCUACAAUGGUCGGUACAAAGGGUUGCUACCUAGCGAUAGGAUGCUAAUCUCAAAAAGCCGAUCGUAGUCCGGAUUGGAGUCUGCAACUCGACUCC